rnacentral:rRNA from 1 species
UGGGGAAUAUUGCACAAUGGGCGCAAGCCUGAUGCAGCCAUGCCGCGUGUAUGAAGAAGGCCUUCGGGUUGUAAAGUACUUUCAGCGGGGAGGAAGGGAGUAAAGUUAAUACCUUUGCUCAUUGACGUUACCCGCAGAAGAAGCACCGGCUAACUCCGUGCCAGCAGCCGCGGUAAUACGGAGGGUGCAAGCGUUAAUCGGAAUUACUGGGCGUAAAGCGCACGCAGGCGGUUUGUUAAGUCAGAUGUGAAAUCCUCGGGCUCAACCUGGGAACUGCAUCUGAGACUGGCAAGAUUGAGUCUCGUAGAGGGGGGUAGAAUUCCAGGUGUAGCGGUGAAAUGCGUAGAGAUCUGGAGGAAUACCGGUGGCGAAGGCGGCCCCCUGGACGAAGACUGACGCUCAGGUGCGAAAGCGUGGGGAGCAAACAGG